rnacentral:rRNA from 1 species
GAUGAACGCUAGCGAUAGGCUUAACACAUGCCAGUCGCGGGGCAGCACAAGGUAGCUUGCUAUCUGGGUGGCGACCGGCGCACGGGUGCGUAACGCGUAUGCAACUUGCCCUAUACAGGAGGAUAACCCGUCGAAAGACGGACUAAUACUGCGUAUGCUCACAACUUGGCAUCAAGUGGUGAGGAAAGAAAUUCGGUAUAGGAUAGGCAUGCGUCCCAUUAGCUUGUUGGUGAGGUAACGGCUCACCAAGGCAACGAUGGGUAGGGGAACUGAGAGGUUUAUCCCCCACACUGGUACUGAGACACGGACCAGACUCCUACGGGAGGCAGCAGUGAGGAAUAUUGGUCAAUGGGCGCGAGCCUGAACCAGCCAAGUCGCGUGAAGGAUGACUGUCUUAUGGAUUGUAAACUUCUUUUAUACGGGAAUAACAAGAGUCACGUGUGACUCCCUGCAUGUACCGUAUGAAUAAGCAUCGGCUAACUCCGUG